AAACCAUAAAUUUUUGAAAUCCUUUGAUCUUAUGUUAAUUUUUGUAAUUGAUUGUUUAAAGUUGUGUAACAGGGUGUCAAUUGAUGAUCUGAGUUGAUAAAUUCAGGACCCAUAACAUCAAAGAGCUCAAAAUUAAAUUUUUUCAACAUUUGGAAAACUUGAAAAAUCUCGUCUGACAUCAAAUGUCAGACCCCAUAGAUCCGUG
rnacentral:lncRNA from 1 species